AUAGUAUAUAGGGGCAUAAUUGUGUAAAUGUUCUGAACCUCCAUCCAUCACUUUCCUCCAUCAACUUGAAUACAAAAGGUGGCUAUAAGUUACACGCAAUUUUCUAUAUUUACCCUGAAGAUGUUGAACACGAAUGUCGAAAUGAAUGCUUAUAGUCUGAAAAAUAGAACUGGAAUUAAGUUUGUGGGCAUUGCUGAAUUUGGCUCUGGUUCCUAGAAACUAACCUCAAGGUAUUCACAGAUGUACAACAGUUGACACAGAUGAUAAAAUAAUUGACACAAGUGAU